UACGUAGGCAGCGAGCGUUGUUCGGAGUUACUGGGCGUAAAGGGUGCGUAGGCGGUCGGGUAAGUCUGAUGUGAAAUCUCACAGCUUAACUGUGAAACUGCAUUGGAUACUAUCCGGCUAGAGGAAUGGAGGGGAGACUGGAAUACUUGGUGUAGCAGUGAAAUGCGUAGAUAUCAAGUGGAACACCAGUGGCGAAGGCGAGUCUCUGGACAUUUCCUGACGCUGAGGAGCGAAAGCGUGGGGAGCGAACAGG
rnacentral:rRNA from 1 species